GCGAGUCUGCCGCGUUGCUGACUGCUCUGCGUUGCGCCUGCGUCCCUGCUGAGUCUCUGGCUUUGCUCCCUCCGCGGAGGUCGUGCAGCAGGUCACGGAUCCUCGCCAGCGGGACCCAGGGACACGAUGGGGUUUGAGGACACCCACUGGCCGCUUCCUCCUGAAGGAAGAGUUCUGAAGAUUACACAGAGACCUGGUUGUCAUCUAGAUUGAGUUGACCUGAGAACCCAACCUAAGGUGGAAUCUGUCCUUAGAAGUGAUCCAGCAUGCCAUGAUUGUGCCUGCCCGGUCAUGCUAGUGUCUGAGAAGGGGCCCUUUCUCCUGCUUGCUGUGGCGGAUUUGCUGCUACAGAGGCUGACAUGGAUCCUGAGAAUUUUGUUUGCGCUGUCAGUGCUGGACCACAUCAGCUAAAUGUGGUGGCAUCUGUUUACUGGGAAUGUGGAGCUGCGUUUCGCUUGAAGAGUUUGGGCAAUGUGAUGAAAGCUUGCCUCCCUGAAAUGUUUACACUGUCUUGGCUUUCUCUGAAAGUCUAAUAAAAUACUUGAACACUGAA